rnacentral:rRNA from 1 species
UACAGAGGUGGCAAGCGUUGUUCGGAAUUACUGGGCGUAAAGGGCGCGUAGGCGGCCUUCUAAGUCGGACGUGAAAGCCCCAGGCUUAACCUGGGAACUGCGUCCGAUACUGGAAGGCUUGGAUUCGGGAGAGGGAUGUGGAAUUCCAGGUGUAGCGGUGAAAUGCGUAGAUAUCUGGAGGAACACCGGUGGCGAAGGCGGCAUCCUGGACCGGCAUUGACGCUGAGGCGCGAAAGCCAGGGGAGCAAACGGG